UUAAUAUUGCUUAGUUUGCUCAUCAGUAUAUAUGUGAAGUUCGAACACAUAAAUAUACGUAUUCUUAUACAAGGAAAUUUAUUACCAUGCGUGGUUGGAGUGCAUUAUUAUUUCGAGAGUAUGAUGAGAUUGGCCGUGGUCUGCGGUUGUGAUAAAGGAAGGGUUUCCGUGAAGUGGCGGAGGGUGAGCUCGGAGUUGAUGAUGAUCGGCAUUGAUGUCAAUAUGAUCAUUGCUCCCAAUAACUCGAGCAAGGGCUGAAACCAUGGCGGACAUAUCUUGUCGUGAACGAGCUGAGUAGAUUGGGAAGAUGGGUUCUUGGUCCUCUUUCUCCUCCGAUUCUUGAUCGGAAGGAAAGGGCCUCUUCCCAUAAUGCCCUCUUCGAUCCACUUUGUCAGAUUAUUGUUUAUAUCUCUCCUCUUUCUAGUACUAGCUAGCACUAUACUGCUAUCUAAUGAUGUCGAUUUGAUUCUCGUUGUGUUUUGAUGAUGAUUAUAUAUGAAUAUACUAGCUAUAUAUAUAA